rnacentral:rRNA from 1 species
UACGGAGGGGGCAAGCGUUGUUCGGAAUUACUGGGCGUAAAGGGCUCGUAGGCGGCCCUCUCAGUCGGAUGUGAAAUCCCCAGGCUCAACUUGGGAACGGCAUCCGAUACUGGAGGGCUUGAAUUCGGGAGAGGGAUGCAGAAUUCCAGGUGUAGCGGUGAAAUGCGUAGAUAUCUGGAGGAAUACCGGUGGCGAAGGCGGCAUCCUGGACCGAGAUUGACGCGUGAGGAGCGAAAGCUAGGGGAGCAAACGGG